rnacentral:rRNA from 1 species
GAGUGAAACUCAAAGGAAUUGACGGGGACCCGCACAAGUAGCGGAGCAUGUGGUUUAAUUCGAAGCAACGCGAAGAACCUUACCUAAGCUUGACAUCCCAAUGACAUCUCCUUAAUCGGAGAGUUCCCUUCGGGGACCUUGGUGACAGGUGGUGCAUGGUUGUCGUCAGCUCGUGUCGUGAGAUGUUGGGUUAAGUCCCGCAACGAGCGCAACCCUUGUCUUUAGUUGCCAUCAUUAAGUUGGGCACUCUAGAGAGACUGCCAGGGAUAACCUGGAGGAAGGUGGGGAUGACGUCAAAUCAUCAUGCCCCUUAUGCUUAGGGCUACACACGUGCUACAA